rnacentral:rRNA from 1 species
AGGAUGAACGCUGGCGGCGUGCCUAAUACAUGCAAGUCGAGCGAACAGAUGAGAAGCUUGCUUCUCUGAUGUUAGCGGCGGACGGGUGAGUAACACGUGGGUAACCUACCUAUAAGACUGGGAUAACUCCGGGAAACCGGGGCUAAUACCGGAUAACAUAUUGAACCGCAUGGUUCAAUGUUGAAAGACGGUUUCGGCUGUCACUUAUAGAUGGACCCGCGCCGUAUUAGCUAGUUGGUAAGGUAACGGCUUACCAAGGCAACGAUACGUAGCCGACCUGAGAGGGUGAUCGGCCACACUGGAACUGAGACACGGUCCAGACUCCUACGGGAGGCAGCAGUAGGGAAUCUUCCGCAAUGGGCGAAAGCCUGACGGAGCAACGCCGCGUGAGUGAUGAAGGUCUUAGGAUCGUAAAACUCUGUUGUUAGGGAAGGACAAAUUUGUUAGUAACUGAACAAGUCUUGACGGUACCUAACCAGAAAGCCACGGCUAACUACGUGCCAGCAGCCGCGGCAAUACGUAGGUGGCAAGCGUUAUCCGGAAUUAUUGGGCGUAAAGCGCGCGUAGGCGGUUUCUUAAGUCUGAUGUGAAAGCCCACGGCUCAACCGUGGAGGGUCAUUGGAAACUGGGGAACUUGAGUGCAGAAGAGGAGAGUGGAAUUCCAUGUGUAGCGGUGAAAUGCGCAGAGAUAUGGAGGAAGACCAGUGGCGAAGGCGGCUCUCUGGUCUGUAACUGACGCUGAUGUGCGANAGCGUGNGGAUCAAACAGGAUUAGAUACCCUGGUAGUCCACGCCGUANACGAUGAGUGCUAAGUGUUAGGGGGUUUCCGCCCCUUAGUGCUGCAGCUAACGCAUUAAGCACUCCCGCCUGGGGAGUACGACCCCAAGGUUGAACUCAAAGGAAUUGACGGGGACCCGCACAAGCGGUGGAGCAUGUGGUUAAUUCGAAGCAACGCGAAGAACCUUACCAAAUCUUGACAUCCUUUGAUCGCUCUAGAGAUAGAGUUUUCCCCUUCGGGGGACAAAGUGACAGGUGGUGCAUGGUUGUCGUCAGCUCGUGUCGUGAGAUGUUGGGUUAAGUCCCGCAACGAGCGCAACCCUUAAGCUUAGUUGCCAUCAUUAAGUUGGGCACUCUAGGUUGACUGCCGGUGACAAACCGGAGGAAGGUGGGGAUGACGUCAAAUCAUCAUGCCCCUUAUGAUUUGGGCUACACACGUGCUACAAUGGAUAAUACAAAGGGCAGCGAACCCGCGAGGUCAAGCAAAUCCCAUAAAAUUAUUCUCAGUUCGGAUUGUAGUCUGCAACUCGACUACAUGAAGCUGGAAUCGCUAGUAAUCGUAGAUCAGCAUGCUACGGUGAAUACGUUCCCGGGUCUUGUACACACCGCCCGUCACACCACGAGAGUUUGUAACACCCGAAGCCGGUGGAGUAACAUUUUAUUAGGAGCUAGCCGUCGAAGGUGGGAC